GCGAAGAUCUGUAUAAAAGAAUUGCCGCAAAAUUGACUUUGAUCAGAAAAUUUAAAGUCAAAUUUUCAAACGAGUGUAAUCAUUUUUCUUUUUCUUUUUUGCUCUUUUCGCCAAUGAACGCGAGGUUGAGUGAACUGCUUUCCGAUGUUCAGUAGUAUGACGUAAUGCUAUUUUUUGAUGAUCUAAUCAUACGAAAUCGCAUCGAUCUGGAAUCUCUCGUGCACGUAAUAAAAACAGACUGACGCCUCACUAAUUUUGAAAUCGCAGAGCGUGGACUCGUAUUUCGUACAAAUAUUGGGAAGAGAAGAGAAAGAAAGAAAGAAGACGCAAACUCGUUGCUACAGGGGUAUCUAUGUGUGAAAGCAAUCUGUUAAAGAUAACGACUAGCUAUUUAUGUCGUGUAUCCUCCAAAUAUAAAGAAAGAAA